rnacentral:rRNA from 1 species
AUUGAACGCUGGCGGAAUGCUUUACACAUGCAAGUCGAACGGUAACAGGCCGCAAGGUGCUGACGAGUGGCGAACGGGUGAGUAAUGCAUCGGAACGUGCCCAGUCGUGGGGGAUAACGCAGUGAAAGCUGCGCUAAUACCGCAUACGAUCUCUGGAUGAAAGCGGGGGACCGAAAGGCCUCGCGCGAUUGGAGCGGCCGAUGUCAGAUUAGGUAGUUGGUGGGGUAAAGGCCCACCAAGCCAACGAUCUGUAGCUGGUCUGAGAGGACGACCAGCCACACUGGGACUGAGACACGGCCCAGACUCCUACGGGAGGCAGCAGUGGGGAAUUUUGGACAAUGGGCGCAAGCCUGAUCCAGCAAUGCCGCGUGCAGGAAGAAGGCCUUCGGGUUGUAAACUGCUUUUGUACGGAACGAAACGGUCCGGGUUAAUACUCUGGGCUAAUGACGGUACCGUAAGAAUAAGCACCGGCUAACUACGUGCCAGCCGCCGCGGUAA